CCUACGGGAGGCAGCAGUGGGGAAUAUUGCGCAAUGGGCGAAAGCCUGACGCAGCGACGCCGCGUGGGUGAUGAAGGCCUUCGGGUCGUAAAGCCCUGUCGGGAGGGACGAAAUCUUGGCGACCUAAUACGUCGCCGAAUUGACGGUACCUCCUAAGGAAGCACCGGCUAACUCCGUGCCAGCAGCCGCGGUAAUACGGAGGGUGCGAGCGUUGUUCGGAAUCACUGGGCGUAAAGCGCGUGUAGGCGGCUUCUUGAGUUCGGUGUGAAAGCCCGGGGCUUAACCCCGGAAGUGCAUCGGGUACUGGGAGGCUCGAGUACCGGAGAGGAGGGUGGAAUUCCUGGUGUAGCGGUGAAAUGCGUAGAUAUCAGGAGGAACACCGGUGGCGAAGGCGGCCCUCUGGACGGAUACUGACGCUGAGACGCGAAAGCGUGGGGAGCAAACAGGAUUAGAUACCCUGGUAGUCCACGCCGUAAACGAUGGGCACUAGGUGUUCGGGGUAUUGACCCCCUGAGUGCCGCAGCUAACGCAUUAAGUGCCCCGCCUGGGGAAUACGGCCGCAAGGCUAAAACUCAAAGGAAUUGACGG
rnacentral:rRNA from 1 species